rnacentral:piRNA from 1 species
UAUAAUGUCAACUUGGGUCUCUCCUGAAU